rnacentral:rRNA from 1 species
GGGCCCGCACAAAGCGGUGGAGCAUGUGGUUUAAUUCGAUGAUACGCGAGGAACCUUACCAGGGCUUAAAUGUUAGGUGACAGAUCUAGAAAUAGAUUUUUCUUCGGACACUUAACAAGGUGCUGCAUGGUUGUCGUCAGCUCGUGCCGUGAGGUGUCAGGUUAAGUCCUAUAACGAGCGCAACCCCCUGUUGUUAGUUGCCAGCGAGUAAUGUCGGGAACUCUAGCAAGACUGCCAGUGCAAACUGUGAGGAAGGUGGGGAUGACGUCAAAUCAUCACGGCCCUUACGUCCUGGGCUACACACGUGCUACAAUGGUAUCUACAACAGGAAGCAAGACGGCGACGUUAAGCAAAUCCUUAAAAAGAUACCUC